rnacentral:lncRNA from 1 species
AUGCUGCCUGUCUUUCCAAAAUGACGAGCAGCGCUGAAUGGCUUGAGAAGAACUUUGGCCUGUUCUCUGGCUAUGCUACUGUGGAGUUUUUAGAAGCCCUGAAUGUCAAUUUCUCCAGUGUGCGUACCUGAUGCCUUUCUCCAGUUGUCCAUGUGAUCUGUCAUGAUGAAUCUUCUGUCUUUUUCAAGUGAAGGGCUUCACCUGCGCUAACUUCUGCUCUCUAUCUUGUCCUUCAGUUGGGAUCGCUGUCACUGCUGAACCCUACUCAAGUAGCUGAAAUCACCCUGAGCUCUGGAGCGCUAAACAACACUGAUCAGAUCGUGGUUGUGUUUGACCGGCUGGAGAAAGGCGACGCUUUCCUGAACAUGAAGGAAUUUCUGACAGAACUAAAUGCAGCUCCAGAGAUUCCUGUCAUCAGCCCUGCUGUGAGUGACGUGAUGAUGAACCGCACCUUCGCAAUCAUUGAAGGCUAUUUCCGGAAAUUUGAGACUCACGAUUGGGUGGUGUGGUUCACCGUGAAUCUCGUUCCCAUCCUCCCCAGUUUCACCACAGAAAUGCUGGUUAAGGUCACAGCUUCAGUCAACUGCACCGACUACCGUGUGAUGUGAGUGAUAUUUGUAAAUGUUUCUGUAGCUCUUUAAAAUAUUCCUCCGUCAGUCAGUGAAUUUUUUUAUGCACAUUCACAUUCAUGGCUUCACAAUAGUUGCUAUUACUUAUCAGUGAAUAAUUUAAAGUACAUCUCUCAAAGGUUGAAGUCCUAUCUUUAUAUUUUUUUAUCUUGGACUGAUUAAAUGCAUAUAUAUUUUUGCAAAUCCUUUAAAACUCUAAAACUGUCCAGAAGAUGUUGAUUUUGCUUUGUGUGUUUAUUUCAAUGCAAUGAACAGUACACAUCUUGUUAAUCUCAUGUCAUUUACAGUGUUAAAGGUCUUAGUAAGGUUUAUUCUCAAAUGCCUGUCCAAAGAAGAAAGGAAAUUGCUGCAGGUCUAGUGGCACACCUUAAACAAAUUGUCUACCAGAUCAAUCAGCCAGCCUGCAAACAGGGCAUCACAAAUGAUUCUGACUGGCUGCAAAUGAACCUUGGUCAGUUCUUCAACUAUGUGCCUUAUUCGGACCUAGCCGCAUUCAACAUCUCAUCGGAAGCCGUGUUUGGCUCUCUAACUGAUGAACAGAAGGUUGAGCGUAUCCUGAUCCCGGGUCUCCUGGAGGACGAAACCUCUGUCAGACAACUCUUUGCAUCUGUUGUAAACUCUCAAAACCAGUUAAAACAGUUCUUCAUCACAUUCACUAGCAUGUCUGCACAGAGGAACGUCUUUAGUGUCAGCACUACUGUGAGCAGCGUCAUUCUGAACAUGACACUGGUGGCCCUGGAGGACAGAUUCCAAAACUUCUUUCCGCAGACAUUUGCUGAUUGGUUCCAGACUUACCUUCGCAUUUUCCUCCCUGGGAUCGGGCCAAACACCCUCUCUGUCAUCCCCUUGACCAUCAACUGCGAUUCUUACACAGAAAUUGUGAGAGGCUGUGAUGAUGUAUUCAGCAAACUCACAUCGGUACAGACCAAUGAUGUCUACAGAUUCACAAUGGACUAUCUGACCCAUAAGCCCAGUCCAGGUAUAUUGCGUGUGUCUGUGUGUGUGUGCGUGUGUCUGUGUGUGUGCGUGUGUGUGUGUAUACCUAUUAUUGCUUGCAUUUUGGUGGGGCCAAAUGUCCCCACAAGUAUAACAAUGCCAGUAAUUUUCAACCUUUUUUAG